GGCAGUAAAUGGCGCAGUGGUCUGAGUGUUGGACUACAACUGUAAAGACUAGGGUUCAAUCCCCUGCUUGGCCA